CAUGAAAACACCAAACAUGU
rnacentral:miRNA from 1 species